UACGUAGGGACCAAGCGUUGUUCGGAUUUACUGGGCGUAAAGGGCGCGUAGGCGGCGUGACAAGUCACUUGUGAAAUCUCCGGGCUUAACUCGGAAAGGUCAACUGAUACUGUGCGACUAGAGUGCAGAAGGGGCAACUGGAAUUCUCGGUGUAGCGGUGAAAUGCGUAGAUAUCGAGAGGAACACCUGCGGCGAAGGCGGGUUGCUGGGCUGACACUGACGCUGAUGCGCGAAAGCCAGGGGAGCGAACGGG
rnacentral:rRNA from 1 species